UUAUAGAUACUAUGGUGAAACACGGAAAAAGUUAAAUUAACCAUAUGACUCAAAAUCCGAACUGUCGGGAAAAAAAAACUAGAUCAAAAUUUAUUCAGAUGAGCGUCAAAAGGUGGCACUUCAACAAAAAUCUUACUUAAUCUGAUUCAAGAUUGAACUGUUAUCUUUUUUAAGGUCAUAUGAAACUACUUACUUGAUUGAGAUAGAAACAAGAGAGAGUGUUCGGGAAUAAAAUCAACAAAUGUUUAUACUCUAUGGUUGAAUUUAUCGGUAUUGCAGGUAUCAUAUAAUUUAUCAGUAUUACAGCUUUUAAAAACGAAAACGAUUUAGUACAAAAAUGAUUUCCUGCCCUGAAAUCACUUUUUUUGCAGUGAUAUGAAAAGUUAAUUUAUGAAGAAAAUGGCUGUACGGUUCCACUUAAAGGGUGCAGAACCUUUUUGAGUGAUGGGCCACAUGCAGAGCAAAUUGACCAAUGAGGGGCCGCAUAACAACGUAUUUAGACAGACAUGCUGAAAGUUACUGUAGGUAGUAAUUAUUCUAAGCACUUAAUUAUUUUUAUCAAUUGUAAUAUGU